CCUACGGGUGGCAGCAGUGAGGAAUAUUGGUCAAUGGACGAGAGUCUGAACCAGCCAAGUAGCGUGAAGGAUGACUGCCCUCUGGGUUGUAAACUUCUUUUAUAUGGGAAUAAAAUGUUCCACGUGUGGGAUUUUGUAUGUACCAUAUGAAUAAGGAUCGGCUAACUCCGUGCCAGCAGCCGCGGUAAUACGAAGGAUCCGAGCGUUAUCCGGAUUUAUUGGGUUUAAAGGGAGCGUAGGUGGAUUGUUAAGUCAGUUGUGAAAGUUUGGGGCUCAACCGUAAAAUCGCAGUUGAAACUGGCAGUCUUGAGUACAGUAGAGGUGAGCGGAAUUCGUGGUGUAGCGGUGAAAUGCUUAGAUAUCACGAAGAACUCCGAUUGCGAAGGCAGUUCACUGGACUGCAACUGACACUGAGGCUCGAAAGUGUGGGUAUCAAACAGGAUUAGAUACCCGGGUAGUC
rnacentral:rRNA from 1 species